GGGCUGGCGGCUUAGUGGUAAACUGUCCAGUCUAGAUUACAGAUGGUCCCAGGUUCAAUUCCUGGUCAGUCCA
rnacentral:tRNA from 1 species